GCCAUUGAGAUUCAAGCAUCUGUAGAGGCAAACCAGUAAGUGAUCGUUACAACUUUUAUUGAGGAUUAUUACGUUACAUCACCUAAAGGCCUAACACGUGUUUGGCACUGAUUUUUGUGGGCAUGGAACUCCACUUGAGUGGAAGAACAAAGGCCUAAUUCACAACAACUUUUCUGUGGGAAGCAUUCAUGGGAUGAAAAUGUGAGGCAAUUGGGGUUUUCGAAGGCGCCAAUGAGGACAGUACAGUGAUUCAUCGGGGAGGCUAUUGACAGCCAUGGUGAUUAAAAGGGAUCAGACACAAUUUUGUUGUCCCCAAUUGCGACGGAGCCGUAGGAGGUUGAGGGCGAUCAUAAUUCAUAAACAUAGAUGACCAAGGAGAAAGACGAAUCAACUGCUACCCUCUGGAUCUCAUCAACGACA
rnacentral:lncRNA from 1 species